CGUGGAGGGUCAUUGGAAACUGGGGAACUUGAGUGCACAAGAGAAAAGCGGAAUUCCACGUGUAGCGGUGAAAUGCGUAGAGAUGUGGAGGAACACCACUGGCGAAGGCGGCUUUUUGGUCUGUAACUGACGCUGAGGCGCGAAAGCGUGGGGAGCAAACAGGAUUAUAUACCCUGGUAGUCCACGCCGCAAACGAUGAGUGCUAAGUGUUAUAGGGUUUCCGCCCCUUACUGCUGCAGCUAACGCAUUAAGCACUCCGCCUGGGGAGUACGGCCGCAAGACUGAAACUCAAAGGAAUUGACGGGGGCCCGCCCCACCGGUGGAGCAUGUGGUUUAAU
rnacentral:rRNA from 2 species